ACCGACGCGGUGAGAGCUGCGAUUACUAAUUUCAAACACAUUUUACUCGUGGCACAAUUUAUAGCAAAUAUACGGUGAUCUGUCAACCUGUUUUACAGUUGAUCAGCACUACGUGUUUACAGAAAGAAUUCUUGCUGUAGUUUUAUCACACUCGUGCGAGAGUGCAACCCAGUCUCCAAACGAUGACAUACGAUCAGCACCUCGUGCUCUAGCGUAAGCAGUGGAUAUUGGAGUGAGAUCAUUGUACAAAUCAUCUACCAUGCAGAGCUUGGCUUGGUUCAUGCUUAACGGGACUGCAACUGCUGCACCAGCCGGGCUCACGUGCUUGAAAGAUGCUGCGGCAGGAAGAUCCAAAGCUUCUUUUAAUUCCUGGAUUUUUUGAGAGAAUUUAAGUGCAAUAAAGCAAAAUCAACAACAACGUACUUUAAUUAUUCAUUAAGUGUAAAAACAAUCAAAUAGUUAUCAUUUCUUACUUUAACAAGUUGCCAGGAAUUAAAUGCAUCACAGAGGUUGAUAAAACCAGGUGAACCAUUCACAACCUUUACAGGCAACUUGGUAUCGGUAGUAUAAAGCUGUGCUGGGUUCUGAUGAGGAUUCAUGCCAUAUCUCAGGGGAAUAUGAGACACACCAAGACUGUAUUCUUUUCUGAAAUAAUCUGCAAUGGCAUUGUCGUAUUCUGCAGUAUGGGUGAACGCCUACAUGUCAACAAAAAGUUAUAAAAGUAAAAAAUAUUCAAGAAAUGA